rnacentral:rRNA from 1 species
UACGAAGGGGGCUAGCGUUGUUCGGAUUUACUGGGCGUAAAGCGCGCGUAGGCGGAUCGUUAAGUCGGGGGUGAAAUCCUGGAGCUCAACUCCAGAACUGCCUUCGAUACUGGCGAUCUCGAGUCCGGAAGAGGUGAGUGGAACUGCGAGUGUAGAGGUGAAAUUCGUAGAUAUUCGCAAGAACACCAGUGGCGAAGGCGGCUCACUGGCCCGGUACUGACGCUGAGGUGCGAAAGCGUGGGGAGCAAACAGG